CUGCGGCGCUGCAGCUGCGGG
rnacentral:misc_RNA from 1 species